rnacentral:rRNA from 1 species
GACGAACGCUGGCGGCGUGCUUAACACAUGCAAGUCGAACGGAAAGGCCCUGCUUUUGUGGGUUGCUCGAGUGGCGAACGGGUGAGUAACACGUGAGUAACCUGCCCUUGACUUUGGGAUAACUUCAGGAAACUGGGGCUAAUACCGGAUAGGAGCUCCUGCUGCAUGGUGGGGGUUGGAAAGUUUCGGCGGUUGGGGAUGGACUCGCGGCUUAUCAGCUUGUUGGUGGGGUAGUGGCUUACCAAGGCUUUGACGGGUAGCCGGCCUGAGAGGGUGACCGGCCACAUUGGGACUGAGAGACGGCCCAGACGCCUACGGGAGGCAGCAGUGGGGAAUAUUGCACAAUGGGCGGAAGCCUGAUGCAGCAACGCCGCGUGCGGGAUGACGGCCUUCGGGUUGUAAACCGAUUUCGCCUGUGACGAAGCGUGAGUGACGGUAAUGGGUAAAGAAGCACCGGCUAACUACGUG